CGGCGGACGGGUGAGUAACACGUGGAUAACCUACCUAUAAGACUGGGAUAACUUCGGGAAACCGGAGCUAAUACCGGAUAAUAUAUUGAACCGCAUGGUUCAAUAGUGAAAGACGGUUUUGCUGUCACUUAUAGAUGGAUCCGCGCCGCAUUAGAUAGUUGGUAAGGUAACGGCUUACCAAGGCAACGAUGCGUAGCCGACCUGAGAGGGUGAUCGGCCACACUGGAACUGAGACACGGUCCAGACUCCUACGGGAGGCAGCAGAC
rnacentral:rRNA from 1 species